rnacentral:sRNA from 1 species
AUGAUUAUGACCGCCAUUCGAGCUUUGGCGGGUUAGCCUACGUCCCCAAACCCGCCUGGAAGGCGGGUUUU